UCUAUGAUAGGUAAAAUAUGUAAAGGGAUACUUUCAGAAGGAACUGAUGUAAAAUUUCUGAUUUUGUGCUCAAUGGAUACUUCUGGAGCCUGGCAAGCUCCACCCAAGUGAGCAAGAUGGAAAUCAGCUGUUUUGUUUCUAUGAUAGGUAGAAUAUGUGAAGGGAUACUUUUAGAAGGAACUGAUGUAAAAUUUCUGAUUUUGUGCUCAAUGGAUACUUCUGGAGCCUGGCAAGCUCCACCAAAGUGAGCAAGAUGGAAAUCAGCUGUUGUGUUUCUAUGAUAGGUAAAAUAUGUAAAGGGAUACUUUUAGAAGGAACUGAUAUAAAAUUUCUGAUUUUGUGCUCAAUGAAUACUUCUGGAGCCUGGCAAGCUCCACCCAAUUGAGCAAGAUGGAAAUCAGCUGUUUUGUUUCUAUGAUAGGUAGAAUAUGUGAAGGGAUACUUUUAGAAGGAACUGAUGUAAAAUUUCUGAUUUUGUGCUCAAUGGAUACUUCUGGAGCCUGGCAAGCUCCACCCAAGUGAGCAAGAUGGAAAUCAGCUGUUUUGUUUCUAUGAUAGGUAGAAUAUGUGAAGGGAUACUUUUAGAAGGAACUGAUGUAAAAUUUCUGAUUUUGUGCUCAAUGGAUACUUCUGGAGCCUGGCAAGCUCCACCCAAGUGAGCAAGAUGGAAAUCAGCUGGUGUGUUUCUAUGAUAGGUAGAAUAUGUGAAGGGAAACUUUUAGAAGGAACUGAUGUAAAAUUUCUGAUUUUGUGCUCAAUGGAUACUUCUGGAGCCUGGCAAGCUCCACCAAAGUGAGCAAGAUGGAAAUCAGCUGUUGUGUUUCUAUGAUAGGUAGAAUACGUGAAGGGAUACUUUUAGAAGGAACUGAUGUAAAAUUUCUGAUUUUGUGCUCAAUGAAUACUUCUGGAGCCUGGCAAACUCCAUCCAAGUGAGCAAGAUAAAACUCAGUAGUUGUGUACUGUGACAGGUAUAAUAUGUAAUGUGAUGAUUGCAGAGGAAAGCGAUGGAAAAUUUCGGAUUUUGUGCUUAGCCAAUCUCUUUUAAUGUUUAUGCUAAGGGCAUUUAAUUAUUAUCUUUAUUGAUAAGAUUUUCAGCUCAGCGACAAUUUGCCUCGAAAUAAAUUGUUUGAAAAAGUACAAUUAAGCGAAUUAUGGUGGCUGUGCGUUUGCAAAUGCCAGUUUUCAAAAUUAUAUAAAAAAAUAA